AAUAGCUGGAUCAUCAUAACCUGCUCGAUCUCCAUGAAGCUCCACAAACUUGUCAGUAAUGCUAAAUACAUGGUCAAGGAAAGUGGGCCUGUUAGGGUGUCGUGCAAUAUUCACACGUUGUAUAGGGGUCAAAUGUGUAUACAAAUCCUUUAGAGCCUGUAAUUUAAAGCAGGAAAAAAAAAACGGAGGUCAUGAAAAUACUCCACCAACCAAUACUCAUUAAUGAGUUCCAAAAUCUGAAUCUAAUUAUCUAAACCUACUAGAGAAAUUUUCAUCAAUAUGGAGCUGGGGCCUAAAAAUUUAGAUAUUGAACAACAAUAAGCAUGAUUUGGAUAGUGCUUUCUUCCACUUACAAGUAUCUAUUGUAGAAAUGCAAUAAUAAUGUGUACCACUUUCAUUGUUCUAUAUUUUCAUCGCCAUUUCAUAACCAUACAUACAUAUUUUUCAGGCAAAAGAAGCAUUAACAGUGUAUUGUUCAAUAGUAGUUUUUUUUUUCUUGAACUAUAUAAGCACCAUGAAUAUCAAAAUCUAAAAUUAACAUUUUCACUUUAAAAUUGCCCAUGACCCAUUAUAAUUUAAAAUUUACCUACUUGAUCAUCCAAUCAUAAAGUAGUCACGUAUAGAUGCAAAUACCUUAAACCCCUUGAUGAGAAAAGAGUGCCAAUUCCUGCCUAGGCACAGUUCUAUUAAUGUUAAAUAAUAAUUCAUAUUAUAAGCAAUAAAAGGUUAGCAUGCUACCGCUCAACCUAUAAUAUUUACCUUCUUUCAGCCUCAACUAUAACUGAUGUCAAAAUAAAAGAAUGUUAUGGUCAGAACUCAGAGAAAAAAUAUAAGCUCGCAAUUUGAAGUCUUAAUUCAAAAAUUUACACAUAAAACAUAUCAGAGCACAACAAAUGUGGCACAAAUAAAUUUAUUCAUGUUUUAUUUCAACUGAUUUUAUGUCACUGAUUUUUUUUUAUAAUUGAUUUUAUGUCACUAAUUGUCAAACCUGUUGAUAUUUAUUUUCUAGUGAGAUAAUCUGAUCAGUGAAGUCUAAACCAGUGUCAUUUGCCAUCUUCCGCACAUCAGUUAUCUUCUUCUCUAAAUCAACAAGUGGUUUCUCAAAAUCCAAAGUAACAAGUUUUGGCUUGUCUUUUAAAGGUUUUAAAGGUGAAAGAUGAGUGAGGACUCCGCCUGGCACAUUAGGAUCGGGAUUUUCGGGCCAAGGAUAUUCGUGCUUCUUCACUUUCCUAAUCUUGGCAACCACUGAAAAAUCCCUCGUUUUCGAGCUGAAUCUUGCUCUCCCAAGGGUCCUCAAAGGGAUGCCGCUAACUCCAUUACUGGAGCUCCGAAGAAGAUCAGAAGCUGAAGUUCCACUGAAUGCAGCUGGAGAAUGAGAUACCGAAGCCAUUCUCCUAAUCCAACAAUUACAAGCUCCAAAUUUCACAACAAAAUCUGCCAAUUAAAUAUUUAAACUUCCAAAUUAAGCUGCAAGAGCAAUUGAAUCAGAAACUGACAGUGAAAUUGGGAUCUCAGUGUAGAGAGAAGAUUAUGAUCUAUAAGAGGGAAAGUG
rnacentral:misc_RNA from 1 species